ACUUGCUGCUUUGUGUUUCAUUUGAUGAAGGUAAUGCUUCCUUAUCAGAAAUUCAUUCCAUUCUAAGGUACUUUAUGUUUUCCUGUUUCUCCAAAGUCUGUCAUUUCCUACAUGGUGUAUAUCUGUUUCCCUUUGUCAUGGUUUAGAGGAAAUACCACAUUUCAUGAAGAUUUCAUUUAUGAGAAGGAAAAAUAGCAGUUUUAAUACUAUGGAGUUUCACUCUCGUCGCCCAGGCUGGAGUACAAUGGCGCGAUCUUGGCUCACUGCAACCUCCACCUCCCCAGUUCAAGUGAUUCUCCUACCUCAGCCUCCCAAGUAGCUGGG
rnacentral:lncRNA from 1 species